AUAGUUCUACAAGCAAAUUCGAGCAAACAACAGUCAUGCCAUGAUUGUUUCAAUUCUUAGGACAUGUGUGUGUGUGUGUGUGUGUGUGUCUCCCUGGGUGU